rnacentral:rRNA from 1 species
GACGAACGCUGGCGGCGUGCUUAACACAUGCAAGUCGAACGAAGAGCGAUGGAAGCUUGCUUCUAUCAAUCUUAGUGGCGAACGGGUGAGUAACGCGUAAUCAACCUGCCCUUCAGAGGGGGACAACAGUUGGAAACGACUGCUAAUACCGCAUGCGAUCUAAACUCGGCAUCGAGGAUAGAUGAAAGGUGGCCUCUACAUGUAAGCUAUCACUGAAGGAGGGGAUUGCGUCUGAUUAGCUAGUUGGAGGGGUAACGGCCCACCAAGGCGAUGAUCAGUAGCCGGUCUGAGAGGAUGAACGGCCACAUUGGGACUGAGACACGGCCCAGACUCCUACGGGAGGCAGCAGUGGGGAAUCUUCCGCAAUGGACGAAAGUCUGACGGAGCAACGCCGCGUGAGUGAUGACGGCCUUCGGGUUGUAAAGCUCUGUUAAUCGGGACGAAAGGCCUUCUUGCGAAUAGGGAGAAGGAUUGACGGUACCGGAAGAGAAAGCCACGGCUAACUACGUG